rnacentral:rRNA from 1 species
UCGCUGUUGGCGAUAUACUGUCAGCGGCCAAGCGAAAGUAUUAAGUGAUGCACCUGGGGAGUACGCCGGCAACGGUGAAACUCAAAGGAAUUGACGGGGGCCCGCACAAGCGGUGGAGCAUGUGGUUUAAUUCGAUGAUACGCGAGGAACCUUACCAGGGCUUAAAUGUAGUAUGACCGGCUUAGAAAUAGGCCUUCUCUUCGGAGCAGAUUACAAGGUGCUGCAUGGUUGUCGUCAGCUCGUGCCGUGAGGUGUUAGGUUAAGUCCUGCAACGAGCGCAACCCCUAUUCUUAGUUGCCAGCGGUUCGGCCGGGGACUCUAAGAAGACUGCCAGCGCAAGCUGAGAGGAAGGUGGGGAUGACGUCAAAUCAUCACGGCCCUUACGUCCUGGGCUACACACGUGCUACAAUGGUAGAGACAGAGGGCAGCCACCUGGUGACAGGGAGCGAAUCCUUAAACUCUAUCUCAGUUCGGAUCGAAGUCUGCAACUCGACUUCGUGAAGCUGGAAUCGCUAGUAAUCGCGCAUCAGCCAUGGCGCGGUGAAUACGUUCCCGGGCCUUGUACACACCGCCCGUCAAGCCAUGGAAGCUGGGGGCACCUGAAGUCGGUAACCGCAAGGAGCCGCCUAGGGUGAAACUGGUAACUAGGGCU